rnacentral:lncRNA from 1 species
UAUGAUGAACACGGCUGCUAAAGAAAUUACGCGAUAGCAAUUUAUAAAAAGCAAUUUUAAACUGCCGUAUUUUGGAACCAGCAUAGCCUCCCGAUUGCCUCCCCUGACCUUCUUGGCAUAACCCUACGGAAUGAUAUGUAUGGGACCCAUGAAGAACUCCGGACUGGUUUCAUCAUUGUGGUGGAUAAUCGUAAAUCCGGUAUCGCACAGGCUCUUUAGUUUUAGCGUAACCCAGUUUAGGAAAACAUCCAUAUGAUGCAAUGUUGUUAAGCUCUUGCGAAUCGCAUUCUGUGCUUCUUGGAGGCAGGGAGAGUUUCCCGCGAUGCUCACAACAGUUUAUGCGGGAGGUCGAUGAGGUCAAGGCCAGGGUAGAGAACAUGGUAAGUCAAGCACCUGGUGGGCCUAUUGUUUGAGCACGCGGCUGGGGUGAUGUAGGUGCAAUUCAACCGCGCAUGGAAGGCCCGUAAUUGCAGGCAAGAUGUAGCCAAUGGUGGUGCCGUGAUAGCACCGGGCGGUGCACUCCCGGCUCCGUCGCUGCCAGCACAACCUCGUCCCAACAGUCAUUUGGAACCUCAUGAGGGGUAUGCAUGACUCUCACACACUCGUUUAUGGAUCCCUUUCUCCUCUUUCCCCAGGAGAGGCGGACAGCCCCAAGCAUAAGGCAGCAAUGUGUCGUUUUUGUGUGUUGUUUUCGGUUAACAUGACCAACAGCACAGAGCCCUGCAGGCCCCCUGGGCCGCAAAAGAAGGGUUAUUGCGGCAGGGGGGCUGCCUGUAUGCGUGUACGCACUGAUAAUGUAACGGCACCUGCGCACUUCUAUCCGUGUAGGUCAUGUCUUGGAGACUUAAUUGACCCUAUGCGGCGUCCUCCCUUUCUGGCAAUCCUAACGGACGCCAGUCCAGCAAAUCGGGUACCGUCCGCACGGUAACAUCCCUCCAUCCAACCGCACUCCAGCCAAUCCCGGUCGAUGGCCCUCCAGCCCCCUGCCUCUCGCCAACGAGCAGCAGAGGCCUUGAGGAGGCGUCAGUCCCGCAACCCGCGCUUAACCUCCUAGAUGCCCGGUGCACAACACAUGCUACAGCAUACAUAGCAGCGCGCUGCACCUUUGCCUUUGCUGCAUCAUCAAGAGAAAUGAGGCGAUAGGAUUGGCAGCGCGCAGCUCAGCAUACCAACAGAGAGUGAAGCCUUGUAAGCAUGUAAUGUGACAUGACCGGGAGAUCCCGAACCAGCGACUUUAGCAAUGGACCCCAAGUCGCACUCCAAGGAAAUCAGGUGUUCCUACUGUGUCUGUACUGCCGCUAAAGGUUCUAGCUGCUGUGCAUUGGCACGUCGCAAUCCUGGCGACAUACAUACGGACAUCACUGUACCCUUCCACGGCAAAUAUUUUAUCCCGCCACAGCUGCUCGGUCACGAUGGCGGCCGAGCGAACCCCGCAUCCACAAAUGCCGUACCAUGACUGCCGUACAUACUGCGCAUGGCGCGCUGCAAACGUCUUCAUGUGUGUAUCCAAUGCCGCCGCCUUGUGCGUGCUUGUAUAUACUUGUAUAUAUGCGUGUGUUACCAAGUCAGUAACAUCGCAAAGUCAAGUCAAGCGUGUGCGCAUCAUCUUAUUAAUUCCAACAGCCAGCGCCACCUCGAUCUCACAAACGCACGCCACAUGCACUCCGCACUAUCGCUAUACAUUUUGCUGACUGGGUAAUGCUACCUUACCUGCGGACUCUCACUCUGUGAUGCUCUCAGAGGACGUCCAGGGAUAUCACCACCAUGGGGGCCUCCCGGAGAAGAAGCACGUGUCCUGAGUCCCACGGGUCAUUAUCAUCGGGCCCAUCGGGUCCCCACCCAAUUGGCUCCCAUGGCCCGACCCCGAGCAGCGAAAUGCCACCAGCACCAGUACCCCUCAUGGAAGCACACAACAGCAGACCAAAACUAAACGAGCGACCGCUGAGACAUGCCCGACGCCAAACAGAAUCACUGGGCCUGCUUUUUUGCCGUACUUAGGCGUCAAGGUCGGUUGGCAUUGACGUCACGCCGAGUACGUCAAUUAGAAUAUACUUGUCGAACAUACAUAUUCCUAAUACGGCUAU